rnacentral:rRNA from 1 species
AGCGAACGCUGGCGGCAGGCUUAACACAUGCAAGUCGAACGCCCGGGCAACCGGGAGUGGCAGACGGGUGAGUAACGCGUGGGAACGUGCCCUUUGGUUCGGAAUAACUCAGGGAAACUUGAGCUAAUACCGGAUAAGCCCUUAUGGGGAAAGAUUUAUCGCCGAAGGAUCGGCCCGCGUCCGAUUAGCUAGUUGGUGUGGUAAUGGCGCACCAAGGCGACGAUCGGUAGCUGGUCUGAGAGGAUGAUCAGCCACACUGGGACUGAGACACGGCCCAGACUCCUACGGGAGGCAGCAGUGAGGAAUAUUGGACAAUGGGCGCAAGCCUGAUCCAGCCAUGCCGCGUGAGUGAUGAAGGCCCUAGGGUUGUAAAGCUCUUUCACCGGUGAAGAUAAUGACGGUAACCGGAGAAGAAGCCCCGGCUAACUUCGUGCCAGCCGCCGCCGUAAUAC